CUCAGCCUUGGACAAGAGACGGAUGGUAGGAAUCUGAGGUUGGAAGGACCUUGUUUCGCUCUCCCACUAGUCCCUGAGACUGGCCUCGUGACCCUCAAACUGGCUCUGAUCUCCCUGGCCAGCUGGGCCUGUUCCCUUCUCCGCCUACCCCACCCCCCCACCCCCUUCUCCCCGCAGCCUCCGGUCUCCGGCAGAAAGGGGGCGGGGGGGAAAAAAGCUUGGAUUAAGUGGUGAGCUGCCUGCCUCUAAAACGACCAGGAGGCGUUUCAAGCCUGAGUGCCGGAAAAACCACGGCAAUCUUCGGCAGCCACCACGUGGGGCAGCGAGAACGACAGCGGUACCUGCAGGACCCACAGCCGGCCAGGCUCUGGCGCCAGCCUCGACGGCGGCCCGGCCAUCUCCGCCCGGCGGGUCCUUGGCCUCACCUCCUCCGGGGGUUCGGUUAACCUCCUGGCGCUGCAAGGUGCCUGCGCGCAGUUCGCGGGCGAGGCGGGUGGCGGGAGGCGGGAGGCGCGGACGGCUCCACCUGAUGGAGAAGAGUGGAGAGUCUUAGACCUCGGCGUGCACGGCGCGGCGCGGCGAGGCGAGGCGAGGGGAGGGGAGGAGAGGAGAGGGGAGGGACAUGGAGGGGAGGGAAAGAGGAAGACCGCCUCCCCACCCCCAUCCCACCGUGGGAGCCUGCGCGUCCAGAGCCCGGGACGAGAGGCGCUGGGGCUCUGGGCACGGCCCGUGGACGUGACAGCCCUAAAGAGACAGCAGAAAACCAACACUUGGAAAACUGCCCGAAUUCUUGUUCUGUGCACAUGCCGGCUCCAGGUCUCUGAUGCGCCCACAGCGCAAGCCGUGGUCCCUCACCAGCAGGUGGCAUCCUCUCCAGCAUUUCUUGUCCUGGACCAUAGCCCAGGAGGCCGAGUUCAUCAAUCCCCAGCCCCCUUCUCCAGGGCCUUCAGUGCCCAGUCCUGUGUCCUUUGAACCACCCGGCUCUGGCGUGCAUUACAUACGCGGAGGCCGGAGCCCACAGAGAAUAGGGCUGGCUCCCAAUUCUGCUGCUCGCCGGCCAAGAAGCUUCAGAAGGGCCAAGUCUCCGCAGGACUGCUUCCAAGCCCUGCUCUCCUGGCAGCAAGCAUGCCCCUAGAGUUUUCUGAGGUCUGGGACAAAGAGACCAGGUGGGAGGGGUCCAGGUGCAGCGCUGUGGGGAUACUGCCUCUCAAUACCCUGAGCGGCCGAGUUCCCACGGACCAUGCAGACCCUAGCUCAUCGUUACUUUCCAGUGACUGUUCCUUGAUGUUAGUGCGAUGUCUGGAAUAUUUAUUAUUUCCUCCAUUUGUGCAAAGGCCUGUUUGGGUACUUAAUAACGAUGUGUGGAAUGAAUACAUGAAUUCCUGUUCUUGGAAAGUUUGUCCUCCAAUUGGGGAAAAGUAAACACAUGGGGA
rnacentral:lncRNA from 1 species